UAGGGAAUCUUCCGCAAUGGACGCAAGUCUGACGGAGCAACGCCGCGUGAGUGAAGAAGGAUUUCGGUUCGUAAAACUCUGUUGUUAGAGAAGAACAGCGCAUAGAGUAACUGUUAUGCGUGUGACGGUAUCUAACCAGAAAGCCACGGCUAACUACGUGCCAGCAGCCGCGGUAAUACGUAGGUGGCAAGCGUUGUCCGGAUUUAUUGGGCGUAAAGCGAGCGCAGGCGGUCAAUUAAGUCUGAUGUGAAAGCCCCCGGCUCAACCGGGGAGGGUCAUUGGAAACUGGUUGACUUGAGUGCAGAAGAGGAGAGUGGAAUUCCAUGUGUAGCGGUGAAAUUCGUAGAUAUAUGGAGGAACACCAGUGGCGAAGGCGACUCUCUGGUCUGUAACUGACGCUGAGGUUCGAAAGCGUGGGUAGCAAACAGG
rnacentral:rRNA from 1 species